rnacentral:tRNA from 1 species
UGGGGUAUAGCCAAGCGGUAAGGCACCAGGUUUUGAUCCUGGUAUCCCAGGUUCGAAUCCUGGUGCCCCAGCCA